rnacentral:rRNA from 1 species
GUAGGGAAUAUUGGGCAAUGGGCGCAAGCCUGACCCAGCAACGCCGCGUGAGGGAAGAAGGCUUUCGGGUUGUAAACCUCUGUCCUUGGUGACGAAAAAAAUGACGGUAGCCAAGGAGGAAGCCCCGGCUAACUACGUGCCAGCAGCCGCGGUAAUACGUAGGGGGCGAGCGUUGUCCGGAAUUACUGGGCGUAAAGGGUGCGUAGGUGGCCUUUUAAGUUGGAUGUGAAAUCCCCGGGCUUAACUUGGGUGGUGCAUCUAAUACUGGAGGGCUAGAGUGCAGGAGAGGGAAGCGGAAUUCCUAGUGUAGCGGUGAAAUGCGUAGAUAUUAGGAGGAACACCAGUGGCGAAGGCGGCUUUCUGGACUGUAACUGACACUGAGGCACGAAAGCGUGGGGAGCAAACAGGAUUAGAUACCCCGGUAGUCC